UGCUUGCUGCAGCGGAGACAAACUCCAAAGGUCCCAGCCACAGGCUUGCCAAGCCGAGGGAGCUGGGACCAGCUAGCUGAAAGCAGCCCAGCAAAGGCUGGAUCCGGCCCUCCGCAGGGCGCGCGGAGUUUCCAGCGCUGACUGCUCCUGGCAAGUCUCCUGGGAGAGAUCAAAGGGGGUGUGGAGCCCUGUUCGUUCUCAUUCAUCUGCAGGCGGUUGGGCUGCUGGUGCAGAGCAUGUGCUAGGAGCAGCGUGUAAACAAACAUCAAAGCAACCUUGUGAAACACCGGAUGUUGUCGGCCAAAUUAAAUUUUGGUAACGCAGAUCCUGUUGCUCCGGCUUUGUCGGUGCGGAGCGUGUAUUGCAUGCUGGGUGCCGGUGGGUUAAGAAAGCCGCCUGAGUACUGUCCCCACCUCCAGAUCGGCUGUGGCUAGCGCAGUUAGAGGAAGCUGAUGCUCAGAUUACGAGAAGUUGGUCGCUAUCCGUCAGCAGCGGCGACUCCGAGGCAGCUUGCCCCGCGUCCCGUCACGAGGAAAACAUCCAGCUGCCCCCGAGGCGGCAGCCGAAACCCCGCGGCCAGGGCCCUUCUCGGCACGGUGAGUCACACCAGCUAUUUUAAACGCCGGCCUUAGGAGGAGAUGAAUUAUCAGCGAACCAGGUGUCCCACGGCUUCGGCUCCCUGGUCACGAAGCCUCGUGGAAGUCGGUCUCCGAGCGCUUUCCGGACGUCCUAUGUGGCAACAGCGUCAUCUCCGCAGGGCACGUGGGGAAACUGAGGCACGGCGCCCUGACCCGCUGGAGAUCUUCGGCGGCUGAGCUUCAGAGCGGGGCUGCCCUAUCGCUGCCGCAGGUGAAGCGAUAGCCAUGGGGAAGCGCCAACAGCCAGUGAAAGCGCGAGCUUCCCGGCUUUCUUUACGGGCGCCCGGGCUCUCCGCACACGCGGCGCCCAGGGGAGCGCGGCCGGCCAGGUCGCGGCAAAGGAUGCAGAAGCCGAGCAUCCCUCCGCAGGCUCAGGAAAAAAAAACAGUUUGCCGGUAACAGCAAAUUUGGGCUCGGGCUUAGCCCCCGCCGUGCACGUUAGGUCUGAGNNNNNNNNNNNNNNNNNNNNNNNNGGGUUGCGGCUCGGUGAAGCCACGCGGGGUUGACACUGACCUUCCUGAGAGCGGGGUCUGACCUAGCCCGGCCUCUGUUACACCCCGAAAGGGCAUCACUCGUCCCUAGCGUUGGUGGGGUUUUGCCUGAGGAAAAAAACACUUUGUUCGGGUUAAAAAAAAAAAAAAAGAAAAAGAAAAAAACCUUUCCACUGCGUAAAGUUGAGUCAAAAUUAGCAAAAGGGCGGAUCAAAGCGAUUCUUUCACCUUCUCCCAGGCUUUUUGUGCCCUUCCUCCAGGGUAAUAUUUUGAUGUCCUUAACCACUGUGUUUUUUUUCCGGUUAGGAGGGGGUUAAGCGACCUGAAAAAUGAAACAAAAGCUCUUGUUUCAAACCGAAGCA
rnacentral:lncRNA from 1 species